GUGCCAGCAGCCGCGGUAAGACGAACCGUGCGAACGUUAUUCGGAAUCACUGGGCUUAAAGGGCGCGUAGGCGGGUCAGCGAGUCCGGGGUGAAAGCCCACGGCCCAACCGUGGAAGUGCCUCGGAUACCGCGGACCUCGAGGGAGGUAGGGGCGUGUGGAACUUCCGGUGGAGCGGUGAAAUGCGUAGAGAUCGGAAGGAACGCCGGUGGCGAAAGCGACACGCUGGACCUCUGCUGACGCUGAGGCGCGAAAGCCAGGGGAGCGAACGGGAUUAGAAACCCUCGUAGUCC
rnacentral:rRNA from 1 species